rnacentral:lncRNA from 1 species
CCAGGUCCUUUCUCCUGCUCUGUGUUUUAUUCCAGGUCCUUUCUCCUGCUCUGUGUUUUAUUCCAGGUCGUUUUCUUCCCCUCCUCCGUUCUCCUGCUCUGUGUUUUAUUCCAGGUCCUUUCUCCUGCUCUGUGUUUUAUUCCAGGUCCUUUCUCCUGCUCUGUGUUUUAUUCCAGGUCGUUUUCUCCCCCUCCUCCUUUCUCCUGCUCUGUGUUUUAUUCCAGGUCCUUUCUCCUGCUCUGUGUUUUAUUCCAGGUCGUUUUCUUCCCCUCCUCCGUUCUCCUGCUCUGUGUUUUAUUCCAGGUCCUUUCUCCUGCUCUGUGUUUUAUUCCAGGUCCUUUCUCCUGCUCUGUGUUUUAUUCCAGGUCCUUUCUCCUGCUCUGUGUUUUAUUCCAGGUCCUUUCUCCUGCUCUGUGUUUUAUUCCAGGUCCUUUCUCCUGCUCUGUGUUUUAUUCCAGGUCCUUUUCUCCCCCUCCUCCUUUCUCCUGCUC